rnacentral:rRNA from 2 species
CUGGCUCAGGACGAACGCUGGCGGCGUGCCUAAUACAUGCAAGUCGAGCGGAUGAUAAAGGAGCUUGCUCCUUUAGAUUCAGCGGCGGACGGGUGAGUAACACGUGGGCAACCUGCCUGUAAGACUGGGAUAACUUCGGGAAACCGGAGCUAAUACCGGAUAACUCUUUGAACCUCAUGGUUCGAAGAUAAAAGAUGGUUUCGGCUAUCACUUACAGAUGGGCCCGCGGCGCAUUAGCUAGUUGGUGAGGUAACGGCUCACCAAGGCGACGAUGCGUAGCCGACCUGAGAGGGUGAUCGGCCACACUGGGACUGAGACACGGCCCAGACUCCUACGGGAGGCAGCAGUAGGGAAUCUUCCGCAAUGGACGAAAGUCUGA